rnacentral:rRNA from 1 species
AGAGCCCGUUAAUGGGUGAUGGCGUGCCUUUUGUAGAAUGAACCGGCGAGUUACGAUUUGAUGCAAGGUUAAGCAGUAAAUGUGGAGCCGUAGCGAAAGCGAGUCUGAAUAGGGCGUUUAGUAUUUGGUCGUAGACCCGAAACCAGGUGAUCUACCCUUGGUCAGGUUGAAGUUCAGGUAACACUGAAUGGAGGACCGAACCGACUUACGUUGAAAAGUGAGCGGAUGAACUGAGGGUAGCGGAGAAAUUCCAAUCGAACCUGGAGAUAGCUGGUUCUCUCCGAAAUAGCUUUAGGGCUAGCCUCAAGUGAUGAUUAUUGGAGGUAGAGCACUGUUUGGACGAGGGGCCCCUCUCGGGUUACCGAAUUCAGACAAACUCCGAAUGCCAAUUAAUUUAACUUGGGAGUCAGAACAUGGGUGAUAAGGUCCGUGUUCGAAAGGGAAACAGCCCAGACCACCAGCUAAGGUCCCAAAAUAUAUGUUAAGUGGAAAAGGAUGUGGCGUUGCCCAGACAACUAGGAUGUUGGCUUAGAAGCAGCCAUCAUUUAAAGAGUGCGUAAUAGCUCACUAGUCGAGUGACACUGCGCCGAAAAUGUACCGGGGCUAAACAUAUUACCGAAGCUGUGGAUUGUCCUUUGGACAAUGGUAGGAGAGCGUUCUAAGGGCGUUGAAGCAUGAUCGUAAGGACAUGUGGAGCGCUUAGAAGUGAGAAUGCCGGUGUGAGUAGCGAAAGACGGGUGAGAAUCCCGUCCACCGAUUGACUAAGGUUUCCAGAGGAAGGCUCGUCCGCUCUGGGUUAGUCGGGUCCUAAGCUGAGGCCGACAGGCGUAGGCGAUGGAUAACAGGUUGAUAUUCCUGUACCACCUAUAAUCGUUUUAAUCGAUGGGGGGACGCAGUAGGAUAGGCGAAGCGUGCGAUUGGAUUGCACGUCUAAGCAGUAAGGCUGAGUAUUAGGCAAAUCCGGUACUCGUUAAGGCUG